rnacentral:sRNA from 1 species
AUUUAAGUGAGGUGCCACGUCCGGAGGAGGGCAGCAGGAAUGAAAGACCUCUAGUUUUCCAGACUCCCGGAGCCCUGGUCUCUACGCCACAUGGACGUUAUCCACCUCCUCUGUGUCCUCCCAAGGCAGCAUUUCAGAAGGUGAUCCACGGCAAAGCGGUCCCUUCAAAUCCGUCUUUGUACCCACUGCCAUAGUCAACCCCGUGAGGAGCACAGCUGGCCCCGGGACUUUAGGACAAGGGUCUCUUCGGAAAGGGCGGAGCAGCAUGAGAAAGAGUAAGUGGUGGCAGAGAGAUGGAUCCCUGCAGAGACCCCUCCAGUCCGGGAUCCCCACUCUCGUGGUAGGCUCCCUCAGACGCAGCCCCACCAUGGUCGUUCGGCCUCAGCAGUUCCAAUUCUACCAGCCACAGGGGGUCCCCUCGUCCCCCUCAGCCAUGGUGGUGGAGAUGGGGUCCAAGCCUGCCCUCACGGGGGAGCCCGCCCUCACGUGCAUCAGCAGGGGCAGCGAGGCCCAGAUCCACUCCGCAGCCAGCUCCCUCAUCAUGGAAGACAAAGAAAUCCCCAUCAAGAGUGAGCCUCUGCCAAAACCGCCCGCAUCUGCCCCACCAUCCAUCCUGGUGAAACCAGAAAACUCAAGAAAUGGCAUCGAAAAGCAAGUCAAAACCGUGAGAUUUCAGAAUUACAGCCCUCCUCCCACCAAACAUUACACUUCCCAUCCCACCUCCGGAAAGCCUGAACAGCCAGCCACCCUCAAGGCAUCCCAGCCUGAAGCAGCAUCCUUGGGCCCAGAGAUGACCUUCCUAUUUGCCCACCGAAGCGGCUGCCACUCCGGACAGCAGACAGACCUCCGGAGAAAGUCAGCUCUUGGCAAGGCCACAACCCUGGUGUCCACUGCCUCAGCCACGCAGACCAUGUUUCCCAGCAAAUGAACCUACGGGUGGCUUUUCCUAGACCCCAAAGAGGUGAAUUGCAUUUAAAUACAGUCUGCCUCCACUGAGGGCAUCCUGCC